rnacentral:rRNA from 1 species
UGCGUAGGCGGACAUGAAAGUGUUUUGUGAAAUCCCCCGGCUUAACCGGGGAAUUGCUUGGCAAACUACAUGUCUUGAGGCAAGUAGGGGUGUGUGGAACUCUUGGUGGAGCGGUGGAAUGCGUAGAUAUCAAGAGGAACGCCGAAGGUGAAGACAGCACACUGGACUUGUUCUGACGCUGAGGCACGAAAGCGUGGGGAGCAAACA